rnacentral:tRNA from 5 species
CGAGAUGUAGCGCAGCUUGGUAGCGCACCUGCCUUGGGAGCAGGGUGUCGCAGGUUCAAAUCCUGUCAUCUCGA